UGUAAAACCUUCCUUUGUAAAAUGUAUUGAUUGACUCAAACAACUGUUUCUAUAUUAUCAGAGCUUUGCCAUCUAGCUGGAUGUUCAUGAUGUCUUUUGCAUUUGAAUUUCUUCGCAAUUUUUGUCAUUGGAAACAUAACAUUGACUGACUGGAUUCCCCUUCUAAUAUCCGUGACUGACAGCUUGUAACUUACCUUCGUGUUACUGCUGACAAACACACCCUGCUAGCUAUGUACUGGUCCAGGGGCAUAACUGUUAAAGGAGGAAAUUGAAACCCCGCAUCCAAGCAUCAGGGGAAUUUGCUGGUGCACAGGAG